rnacentral:rRNA from 1 species
GUAGGUGGCAAGCGUUGUCCGGAAUUAUUGGGCGUAAAGCGCGCGCAGGGCGGUCCUUUAAGUCUGAUGUGAAAGCCCACGGCUCAACCGUGGAGGGUCAUUGGAAACUGGGGGACUUGAGUACAGAAGAGGAAAGCGGAAUUCCAAGUGUAGCGGUGAAAUGCGUAGAGAUUUGGAGGAACACCAGUGGCGAAGGCGGCUUUCUGGUCUGUAACUGACGCUGAGGCGCGAAAGCGUGGGGAGCAAACAGGAUUAGAUACCCUGGUAGUCCACGCCGUAAACGAUGAGUGCUAAGUGUUAGGGGGUUUCCGCCCCUUAGUGCUGCAGCUAACGCAUUAAGCGCUCCGCCUGGGGAGUACGGCCGCAAAGGCUG